AUGUGGUUCACUGAACAAAAAAAGGGACUGCUUUACAUAUGGAAUGUUUGCAAAUUAAAAAAAUCAAAGGAAAUUCAGUUUUUGAUAGUGUAUUAUAAUUGGGACUUGUUUAACUUUUGUAGGAAGCAAACAGAAGGACUGCACUCACAAUGGACCAUGAAGCUAGUGAUCCACGUCAACUGGAUAUUUUAG
rnacentral:rRNA from 1 species